CAUGCACCUUUGUCCAUCAAACACCCCUCUACCACAAAUAUUAUCAGUACAACUAUCAAAUAAUACCUCUACAUUAAGCUCUCCACCAGUACCAGCCAUCACUGAAUCGGAAUGGAAAACUGUAGUUUUCCUGUGUAGAUAGGGGAAGCAACGAUUGGUCAAUCAAAUUUCAAAUUUAAGCUAACCCAUGCAAAUUCCUUCAAAGAAUGGCCAACAGACAAUGGAAGCAGGUAUGGCUGCGCACUCAAAGGGACCCACAGGCUCAACAUUACAAUAAUCCCCCAAGGCACAAGAUAAACAAGCCUUAUCCAGUACACAUAUAGAGAUGAUACCAUCCUCCUCUGUAGCCCACAAAGUGCAACACCACAUGCAUCCCCUAACUUCCCCCGUUUCCUCAAUGAAUAGUGCUUUUAAUAACACUACUCUCACCCUAAGUGAGUCCACGUCAUCCCCACCUCCCCACUCGUUCAUUCACGAGCAAGUUCACAAAUAUUUUCACAAGUUUACUGAUAGCCCCAUCAUCCCCUAGAUGCAAUGAUAACCUAACCCAACUAUCUCACCCCAAAUUACAUAGCACUCCAAUGCUACAAGAAUUAAAAGUUCCACAAUUUUCUUUACACUCAAGCCCACGUGAAAAGCCCACCAAUCUAGAACACCAAGUCCUUUAAGUUGGUUCACCGCCUCCAACCACCACUAUUGAGCCUACAAAUAUAAGUUCAGUGCCUACUCGACUCACCUCAACUAACCAGCCCAAUAUCAAUCACAAUUCCCCUUAAUCCACAAAAUAAUGCAACGUUACAACCAAGCAUCACCCUCUCUUCGCACUCACAACCACAGACCUUCUCUACUUCCUUAUCGCCCUCUCAAUCUUCAUAACCUAUUCCCUCACAACAUGCAGAACCACAUACCACCACCCCAAACCUACCCUAUAAUAUACAUAUUCCAAGCACCCUACCCAUACACUCCUCCAUAAUCCUGGCUAGAACUGGGCCUCCAGAACCAUGUGCUUACAUUCACCAUGAUGGUUAACAACCAAAGAAGUGAUCAUCAAAAUUCAGAACCCUCUGGACACUGCACAGAUAGUGACAGAGGGAAUGAAACUAGCCAUAGAGCUUUACGGGCAAUACUAGUGGGCGAUGUCCCAAUCACCAUAAUGGGGCUCGAGCCAACCUCCACUCAUGCAAACCCACUAGCGGAAUGCCCCACAGACAUAUCCCACGUACCAACAACCCCAGAACUAUGACAAUUUUCUCUUUUACCCACCAUACCACUCCCCAAUCCCAUGGAUUCAUCAGGAACUCUUCAUGCGUGCACCAACUCCACCCACCUCUCCGAUGAGUCCAUUCAAACACCUAACUCCAUCCUCCAGUUAAAUGACAAACAACCUUCCCAGUCCCAACGAAAAUGAAAUCCUUAUACCUCAGGAAAUAGCUGCAGUAAUGGAGGAAAUGAGGGAAACACGCAUGGUACUAAUAUGGCUAAAGCGAUGUCAUAUCUCCAUCCUCAAAGAGCAGUACAAAAAAAACUACUUCUAACAUGCCCACCAGAAAUGAUUCAAUGCUCCAUCGAACUUCGACCAACUGUCAACCAGAGGCGGGGAAGUUUGCUGUCAUAAUCACUCCAACACUUCAACCUCUAACCAGGAAGCCACGGAAGUGGAACAAUAGUUGGAGACUCAACAAAAUCUCCAGAACCAACCACCAACCAAUAGUCGUUCGAUGAACUUCGUCAUUUGAAAUUGUCGAGGUGCCCAAUCCCCCGACUUUCGACACAAGUGUAGGAAUAUGCUUAACUACUACAAGCCAGCACUUCUUGUCCUCCUUGAAACAUAUAUAGCUGACCAUGAAAACCUUAACGGAGGACUUUGGUUUUACAAACUACUCUCAAGCUCCUACACAAAGCCAAGCUGGGCGAAUUGUUGUACUUUGGAAUGCAGCUACAUUCAAAGUGGAUGAAAUUGCAGUCACUAAUCAGGAAGUUCAUUGCAUGGUGCAGGUAUACCCUAAACCUCAAAACUUUUUAUUUUUUGCUCUCUAUGCAAGCCCUUAUCUUAGUCAGAAAAAAUACUCUGGCAAAACUUAAAAUGUAUUGCAUAUAAUUAUUCGGGUCCUUGGCUAUUAAGUGGAGAUUUUAAUGAUA